AUUGAACGCUGGCGGCAGGCCUAACACAUGCAAGUCGAACGAGUGGCGGACGGGUGAGUAAUGUCUGGGGAACUGCCCGAUGGAGGGGGAUAACUACUGGAAACGGUAGCUAAUACCGCAUACUAUCGGAUGUGCCCAUAUGGGAUUAGCUAGUAGGUGGGGUAAGGGCUCACCUAGGCGACGAUCCCUAGCUGGGCUGAGAGGAUGAUCAGCCACACUGGAACUGAGACACGGGCCAGACUCCUACGGGAGGCAGCAGUGGGGAAUAUUGCACAAUGGGCGCAAGCCUGAUGCAGCCAUGCCGCGUGUAUGAAGAAGGCCUUAGGGUUGUAAAGUACUUUCAGCGAGGAGGCGUUACUCGCAGAAGAAGCACCGGCUAACUCCGUGCCAGCAGCCGCGGUAAUAC
rnacentral:rRNA from 1 species